UACUGGCCCUCAAAACCCCAAA
rnacentral:miRNA from 1 species